UUCUGUAGUCAGAAGACAGUCAGAAGUGAUGGCAGCAGACAUCCUCUUGUCACAAGCUGUCACACCCUGGGUGCUGAUGGCAGAUCAAGGCCAUUAUACUUCCUCAUAAAAUGCCUCCUUCAAGAUACAAUCUUCUGCUGGUGCUCUCUGUGUCAUGAUGUGGUCCAGUUUAAAAACUUUCAAAGCAGAUGCCCAGAGGAAUAAAAAAAAAAAAAAGGAACAGAAAACUGUGUCAAGGUGACCACCACUAUGAUCUUCUGUGUCUGAAGAACUGUUAUUAAAUUUGAAGAUGAUCCCA